AUUGAACGCUGGCGGCAGGCCUAACACAUGCAAGUCGAACGAGUGGCGGACGGGUGAGUAAUGUCUGGGAAACUGCCUGAUGGAGGGGGAUAACUACUGGAAACGGUAGCUAAUACCGCAUACCAUCGGAUGUGCCCAGAUGGGAUUAGCUAGUAGGUGGGGUAAAGGCUCACCUAGGCGACGAUCCCUAGCUGGUCUGAGAGGAUGACCAGCCACUCUGCAGCUGAGACACGGUACAGACUCCUACGGUAGGCAGCAGUGGGAGAUAUUGCACAAUGGGCACAAGCCUGAUGCGGCCAUGCCGCGUGUAUGAAGAAGGCCUUCGGGUUGUAAAGUUCUUUCAGCGGGGAGGCGUUACCCGCAGAGGAAGCGCCGGCUAACUCCGUGCGAGCGGCCGCGGUGAUUC
rnacentral:rRNA from 1 species